AUAUAAAUUAUUGCGGGAUUUUGUUAAAAUGAAGAUUCUUAUUUAGGAAGUCUAGGGUGGGGCAUGAGUUUCUUCAUUUUUAAACAUGUUCCAAGAGAUAUGAAU
rnacentral:pre_miRNA from 1 species